rnacentral:rRNA from 1 species
AUUGAACGCUGGCGGCAUGCCUUACACAUGCAAGUCGAACGGUAACAGGUCUUCGGAUGCUGACGAGUGGCGAACGGGUGAGUAAUACAUCGGAACGUGCCCGAUCGUGGGGGAUAACGAAGCGAAAGCUUUGCUAAUACCGCAUAAGAUCUACGGAUGAAAGCAGGGGACCGCAAGGCCUUGCGCGAACGGAGCGGCCGAUGGCCGCUUAGGUAGUUGGUGGGAUAAAAGCUUACCAAGCCGACGAUCUGUAGCUGGUCUGAGAGGACGACCAGCCACAAUGGGACUGAGACACGGCCCAGACUCCGACGGGAGGCAGCAGUGGGGAAUUUUGGACAAUGGGCGAAAGCCUGAUCCAGCCAUGCCGCGUGCGGGAUGAAGGCCUUCGGGUUGUAAACUGCUUUUGUACGGAACGAAAAGACUCUUUCUAAUAAAGAGGGUCCAUGACGGUACCGUAAGAAUAAGCACCGGCUAACUACGUGCCAGCAGCCGCCGUAAUAC